AACGAACGCUGGCGGCAUGCCUAACACAUGCAAGUCGAACGAGACCUUCGGGUCUAGUGGCGCACGGGUGCGUAACGCGUGGGAACCUGCCCUUAGGUUCGGAAUAACUCCCCGAAAGGGGUGCUAAUACCGGAUAAUGUCUUCGGACCAAAGAUUUAUCGCCGUUGGAUGGGCCCGCGUUGGAUUAGCUAGUUGGUAGGGUAAAAGCCUACCAAGGCGACGAUCCAUAGCUGGUCUGAGAGGAUGAUCAGCCACACUGGGACUGAGACACGGCCCAGACUCCUACGGGAGGCAGCAGUGGGGAAUAUUGGACAAUGGGCGAAAGCCUGAUCCAGCAGUGCCGCGUGAGUGAUGAAGGCCUUAGGGUUGUAAGCUCUUUUACCCGGGAUGAUAAUGACAGUACCGGGAGAAUAAGCUCCGGCUAACUCCGUG
rnacentral:rRNA from 1 species